AGCGAACGCUGGCGGCAUGCCUAACACAUGCAAGUCGCACGGGGGGGCUUCGGCCUCCCAGUGGCGGACGGGUGAGGAACGCGUAGGGACCUGUCGAGGGGUGGGGGAUAACCGCGGGAAACUGCGGCUAAUACCGCAUGACGCCGCGGCGUGACAGCCGGGGCCAAAGGCGAAAGCCGCCCGCCGAGGGGCCUGCGUCCGAUUAGCUGGUUGGCGGGGUAGCGGCCCACCAAGGCGUCGAUCGGUAGCUGGUCUGAGAGGGUGAUCAGCCACACCGGGACUGAGACACGGCCCGGACUCCUACGGGAUGCAGCAGUGGGGAAUAUUGGACAAUGGGCGCAAGCCUGAUCCAGCAAUGCCGCGUGGGUGAAGAAGGUCUUCGGAUUGUAAAGCCCUUUCGGCGGGGACGAUGGUGACGGUACCCGCAGAAGAAGCCCCGGCUAACUUCGUG
rnacentral:rRNA from 1 species